rnacentral:rRNA from 1 species
GACAGAGGGUGCAAACGUUGCUCGGAAUCACUGGGCGUAAAGGGCGUGUAGGCGGGAAGGAAAGUCAGAUGUGAAAUCCCCAGGCUCAACCUGGGAACUGCAUUUGAAACUCCCUUUCUUGAGUACCGGAGAGGAAAGUGGAAUUCCUGGUGUAGAGGUGAAAUUCGUAGAUAUCAGGAGGAACACCAGUGGCGAAGGCGGCUCACUGGUCCGGUACUGACGCUGAGGUGCGAAAGCGUGGGGAGCAAACAGG